UUCCUUAAAGUCUGAAUCACUUUCACAUUGCUAAGACAAAAUCCCCAGUACCCACAGCUUAUUUUGGUUCACGUUUUCAGUCUGUGGUUGGCUGGCAGGGGCAGAAGGUGAGAGUGGAAAGGCAUGGGAAGGAAAGCUGCUGUCGUGGCGGUGGCCUUGAAGCAGGGACAGGAGGCAGGAGCUGUGAGGAAGACGUGCCCUUCUAGAUCGCCCCCGUGUGGACCACUUCCCAACUGCAGAUGCAACAUAAAUACCAAGUGUAAAGGAGAACUCUGUCUCUGAAAGGUGGAUGAACGGUGGCAAUUGCCUGGAGUAACUGGGCUCUGACUCCUCCUGUGGGCUGCAGAAAGGAAACUCUUCAAAGGCAAGCAAACAGAGCAAUUUCUUGUAAGACAACCUCAGGUGGAGCCACACCGACCAACAACUAAAACUCA